rnacentral:lncRNA from 1 species
GCGGGGCAGAGACUUGAACCACCUCUGGCCGAGCCCCUCCCUCCCCGUUUCAGAGCCUCAUGCAGCUGGGGGACCAGCAGCUGGAAGGGCAGACUGCCCAGGCCACAGAGAGACAGACGCAAGGCACCGAAGUUCUCAGAACGAAAGUGGGACGAGCACUUGGACACUUUACAAACCCCCAGGCCCCGAGAGAUUAGGACCCAGACACACACGGGGAGGACCGCGUGUGACCCAGGGAGGAGACGGCCAUCUGGACAGGACAUCAGGUCUCAGCCCUGAGUGGUCCCUGCCUUUAGGAAUGUAGGCGGAAACUGGACACAGCAUCGCGGGUACAGAGACCAACCAGGAGCGGACAUUUGAGGGAUAGAGGGGCUCCUGCCUACGUGGAGUCAGCAGACAUUCUACAAAGAAAAGGAGUUUGGGGACAUCCAGCGAGUGUCUGAGGCAGCACAGUGCACAAAACUCUAGGAUGUGCGGGACGCUGACACCGCUUAAUCUGGGGGGCAGGGUGUGUUCACUGGACCAUCACAAUUAGUGAACACAUUGGCGACAGCCUGUCCUAUGCAGGUGACCCGAGUCAGCUCCAUCCACCCUCAGCAAACCCGUGAGACCGGCCCUCUUGGCGCCCCCAUUUUACAUACGAGAAAAUAGAGGCACAAAGAGAGACUGCGACGGCAAAGAUUACACAGCUGGUAAGAAGCAGGAGGAAACGUGUGAGAGGGAAAGAGACUCGAAGAGAAAGGACAGGUGAGGGCCAAGGGAGCAGCCCCCCAGGCUGCCCUCCAAGGCCUUGACCCCAGUCCGGAGUGACUUCAGGACGCUUAUUGGAAGCCUUCAGGGAAGAACGGUUUGACUCAUCCCUGGGGGUGCAGACAGAGCUCAGGCUGAAGGUGAGCCCCAUGAGACAGUUACUGAGAGAAGAGAACAUGUCAGUGAAAGAGGAGAAUUGGUAAGCAAUGGCACAUGUAUUUUAUAUUUGGGGACAACUUUUAAAAAAUGUAUACAUCCAUUCACCGCUUUUUUUUUUUUUUUUUUUUUGAAUGGCCGCACCCAUGGCC